rnacentral:rRNA from 1 species
AUUGAACGCUGGCGGCAGGCCUAACACAUGCAAGUCGAACGAGUGGCGGACGGGUGAGUAAUGUCUGGGAAACUGCCUGAUGGAGGGGGAUAACUACUGGAAACGGUAGCUAAUACCGCAUACCAUCAGAUGUGCCGAGAGGGGCUUAGCUAGUUGGUGGGGAAACGGCUCACAAGGGCGACGAUCCCUAGCUGGUCUGAGAGGAUGACCAGCCACACUGGAACUGAGACACGGGCCAGACUCCCACGGGAGGCAGCAGUGGCGAAUAUUGCACAAUGGGCGCAAGCCUGAUGAAGCCAUGCCGGGUGUAUGAAGAGGGCCUUCGGGUUGUAAAGUACUUUCAGCGGGGAGGCGUUACCCGCAGAAGAAGCACCGGCUAACUCCGUGCCAGCAGCCGCGGUAAUAC